rnacentral:rRNA from 1 species
CACGUGGGUAACCUGCCCAAGAGACUGGGAUAACACCUGGAAACAGAUGCUAAUACCGGAUAACAACACUAGACGCAUGUCUAGAGUUUGAAAGAUGGUUCUGCUAUCACUCUUGGAUGGACCUGCGGUGCAUUAGCUAGUUGGUAAGGUAACGGCUUACCAAGGCAAUGAUGCAUAGCCGAGUUGAGAGACUGAUCGGCCACAUUGGGACUGAGACACGGCCCAAACUCCUACGGGCAGCAGGU